GUGGCCCUGACUGAAGACUAGCAGUUGUACUAUGCUGUUGGUUUCAAGCAGAGGCCCAAAGAACUAUCUUCCUGUGAUUUGCUGGCUGUUCUGGAGUCUCAGCAAAGAAUGGCUGUUUCAUUGGAAGAAACAACC
ensembl:snoRNA SNORA2C small nucleolar RNA, H/ACA box 2C